rnacentral:lncRNA from 1 species
GGGCCUUUCUCAGGCUGCCUUCCUUCCUUCAGCCCAGCAGGCAGCCGCUCUGAGACUUGAGAUGCAGAUGCCCAGCACAAGUCCUGGUGCCCAGCGGCAGUACGAAUAGAACCACGCAAAUCCAGUCCUCAGCACCUUGUGUACUACCCUAGUCCCUCCUGGAAGAAUACAGCACCUUCUCAGGCUUAUACUCUGCAGAACUUUUACUUUUUCAGAACAAGAAGGUGGCCUCAGAGUGGACAGUGCAGUUGAGAAAACCAACCUGGAAUAGAAAAUCUCCCACGCCAGUCCAGCAUGAGUGUGAGAGUUGGCCAAGAUGGAAGGCUGUGCAGAGCAUGACAAACACACGGGUCACACCCAGCAUGCAACUUUGUGACCCAGCUGGGUCAAAGACUUCUGAAGGCCUAGAAGUGGCAAGGAAGUCCCAUUGGCUUAUGCUCCACCACAGCCCCCUAAAGCCACCUCCCCUGUCUGCUGUGGAUGUGGCUGUGGGAGAGUGGCCAGGCAGGGAGGCAAGACCCAUGAGCCACAGAACACCCAGAGAAGACAGAAGACGACCUCUCCAGGAAAAGGAAGUGUAUUGUGCCUGUAAAUUCCCAGAACUGGAGAAGGGAGAGACAAUAAGCAUCUUUAUUAUCCAAAUUCUAGAGGAAAUGGCUCUG